GCGGCGGACGGGUGAGUAACACGUGGGCAACCUGCCUGUAAGACUGGGAUAACUCCGGGAAACCGGAGCUAAUACCGGAUAGUAUCUUGAACCGCAUGGUUCAAGUUGGAAAGACGGUUUCGGCUGUCACUUACAGAUGGGCCCGCGGCGCAUUAGCUAGUUGGUGAGGUAAUGGCUCACCAAGGCAACGAUGCGUAGCCGACCUGAGAGGGUGAUCGGCCACACUGGGACUGAGACACGGCCCAGACUCCUACGGGAGGCAGCAGUAGGGAAUCUUCCGCAAUGGACGAAAGUCUGACGGAGCAACGCCGCGUGAGUGAUGAAGGUUUUCGGAUCGUAAAACUCUGUUGUUAGGGAAGAACAAGUGCGAGAGUAACUGCUCGCACCUUGACGGUACCUAACCAGAAAGCCACGGCUAACUACGUGCCAGCAGCCGCGGUAAUACGUAGGUGGCAAGCGUUGUCCGGAAUUAUUGGGCGUAAAGCGCGCGCAGGCGGUUUCUUAAGUCUGAUGUGAAAGCCCCCGGCUCAACCGGGGAGGGUCAUUGGAAACUGGGAAACUUGAGUGCAGAAGAGGAGAGUGGAAUUCCACGUGUAGCGGUGAAAUGCGUAGAGAUGUGGAGGAACACCAGUGGCGAAGGCGACUCUCUGGUCUGUAACUGACGCUGAGGCGCGAAAGCGUGGGGAGCGAACAGGAUUAGAUACCCUGGUAGUCCACGCCGUAAACGAUGAGUGCUAAGUGUUAGAGGGUUUCCGCCCUUUAGUGCUGCAGCUAACGCAUUAAGCACUCCGCCUGGGGAGUACGGUCGCAAGACUGAAACUCAAAGGAAUUGACGGGGGCCCGCACAAGCGGUGGAGCAUGUGGUUUAAUUCGAAGCAACGCGAAGAACCUUACCAGGUCUUGACAUCCUUUGCCCUUCUAGAAGAUAGAAGGUUCCCCUUCGGGGGACAAAGUGACAGGUGGUGCAUGGUUGUCGUCAGCUCGUGUCGUGAGAUGUUGGG
rnacentral:rRNA from 2 species